rnacentral:misc_RNA from 1 species
CUUCUCUGCCAUGGCUGUGAUGGAUGAAACACAAGGAUGUGAAUCUGAUGAAGAUAAAAUGAAAUGGGUAGGCGAAAGCUAUACUUCAAUGAAUGAAAUGAAACAGAACGAAAGAGAGAUGAUCGAAAAGAUUAUUAUUAAUUAAGGCGGUUUGCAUCUUAAGUAGAGGUAAGGAAAAAGAGAGUGAUGAUUGGGGGCGUACACAUUCUCUUCAAAUAAUAUAAAAUUUAUUAUU